AGCGAACGCUGGCGGCAGGCCUAACACAUGCAAGUCGAGCGGAUGUAGCAAUACAUCAGCGGCAGACGGGAGAGUAACACGUGGGAACGCGCCCUUCGGUUCGGAAUAACUCAGGGAAACUUGGGCUAAUACCGAAUACGCCCUUACGGGGAAAGAUUUAUUGCCGAAGGAACGGCCCGCGUCCGAUUAGCUUGUUGGUGAGGUAACGGCUCACCAAGGCGACGAUCGGUAGCUGGUCUGAGAGGAUGACCAGCCUCACUGGGACUGAGA
rnacentral:rRNA from 1 species